CCUACGGGGGGCAGCAGUGGGGAAUUUUCCGCAAUGGGCGAAAGCCUGACGGAGCAAUACCGCGUGAGGGAGGAAGGCUCUUGGGUUGUAAACCUCUUUUCUCAGGGAAGAAUAAUGACGGUACCUGAGGAAUCAGCAUCGGCUAACUCCGUGCCAGCAGCCGCGGUAAUACGGAGGAUGCAAGCGUUAUCCGGAAUUAUUGGGCGUAAAGCGUCUGUAGGUGGAUGUUCAAGUCUGCUGUCAAAGACCGGGGCUUAACCCUGGAAAGGCAGUGGAAACUGAAGAUCUAGAGUGCGGUAGGGGCAGAGGGAAUUCCCAGUGUAGCGGUGAAAUGCGUAGAGAUUGGGAAGAACACCGGUGGCGAAAGCGCUCUGCUAGGCCAAAACUGACACUAAGGGACGAAAGCUAGGGGAGCGAAUGGGAUUAGAUACC
rnacentral:rRNA from 1 species